GAGUCACUUUGGAGGACAACGCUGGUGGAGAUGUAGCGGUCCGAAGGCGUGCGGGCACCUCCGAGCCCCCACCCUCGUUUGCAUUUGGGAGGGACCGGAGCUGUGAACGGGGAGGACGGACCCGUUGGAAGCGUAAAUGGACUGCGCCGGCGGGGGACGUCACGAUGCGUCGUCGCCACAAAGCUCAUGAACGCGCUCAUUUGGCUCCCAGCAUGCCGCACACCCGGAGGGACCACCGCUUACCAGGAGACCCCCUAAAAGCCCACCCUGCGUGACCCGAGGAGGAAAAAGUGCGUCGAGAGGUUCAUGGCGCGGCCGUUUUUGUUCCUGCUGGAGAGCUGCAUCCGCAGGCCUGAGGGGUUGUCUGUUAUCUUUGGUUAUCUAGCUGUAUGAGUGACGUACAUUCUUCAUAAAGCUAGAUAACCGAAAGUAACAAGAAUCCCAUUACACGCCUGCACAGCAAGAAGGAAAACAACGCAAAAAUAAAAAAUAAUGUGAGCCCAGUCGAAGAGCAGCAGCAGAUAGGGCUGGAGCUGGACGGCAGCUGCUGCUAACCAAUGAUGUGAAGGUUUCUGAUCUGACCAGAGCUGUGGGCAACUAGAAGACUAUAAAUAAGCCACGGACACCAGCUUAACAAAGGACAAAAGUAUUCAACCCCCAAUGAUUAGGCCGAGGAAAGGAGCUCAAACACAGCAGCCUGGUGGAGAGCAGUUCAGACGCUCACAUCAUGUGGAUCCAGAAGACGCCGUCUGAACGACAUCCUGGGAGUGUCAGAGCUGAAGGACUGGAGUGAUGAAAGCUGCUUUCUGGGAAGCUGCGCGGCACAGCGGUCCAGAAAACAUCGGCACUAGAUUUUAAUGUAGGUCAGAGCUCAGAUCAGCAUCGUUUA